AGUGAACGCUGGCGGUAGGCCUAACACAUGCAAGUCGAACGGCAGCACAGUAAGAGCUUGCUCUUACGGGUGGCGAGUGGCGGACGGGUGAGGAAUACAUCGGAAUCUACUUUUUCGUGGGGGAUAACGUAGGGAAACUUACGCUAAUACCGCAUACGACCUACGGGUGAAAGCAGGGGAUCUUCGGACCUUGCGCGAUUGAAUGAGCCGAUGUCGGAUUAGCUAGUUGGCGGGGUAAAGGCCGACCAAGGCGACGAUCCGUAGCUGGUCUGAGAGGAUGAUCAGCCACAAUGGAACUGAGACACGGUCCAGAAUCCUACGGGAGGAAGCAGUGGGGAAUAUUGGACAAUGGGCGCAAGCAGGAUCCAGCAAUACCGCGUGGGUGAAGAAGGCCGUCGGGUUGUAAAGCCCUUUUGUUGGGAAAGAAAAGCAGCAGGUUAAUACCCCGCUGUUCUGACGGUACCCAAAGAAUAAGCACCGGCUAACUUCGUG
rnacentral:rRNA from 1 species